UGUUGAUGAUGACAAAUCCAAUGGUUUGUUUCUCAAAAACAUUCGCAGUGGCCGCCUAAGAGCUUUCGCCUUCGCCUAGGCUUGAGAGCUACUGCUGCUUCUAUCCUUCCUUGGAUGUCUGAAACC
rfam:Cephalotus follicularis DNA, scaffold: scaffold12688, isolate: St1.